GUAUAGCUACGGCUAAUUGUGUAUAUCUACACGAUAUCGACUCUGUCGAAUAAAAUUCUGGGUAAAUUAUGAUGAUGACAUUUUUUACCUAUGUGUCUUGACCAAAUUGUGUGCCAGCAGUCGCGGUAAUACAUAGAAGACUAGUGUUAUUCAUCUUUAAUAGGUUUAAAGGGUACCUAGACGGUAGAUCAAGCCCUAGACGGGACUAAUUUGCUAGAGUUACUUAUGAGGGGGCUUUAAAGUACUAAUGGUGUAGAGAUAAAAUUUUGUAAUACCAUUUUUCGUAAAGAAAAAUUAUGGCACUGGUAAAGGUGAAAGCAUCCCCCUAUGUGAUAACUGACGUUGAAGGACGAAGGCUUUGGGUCGCGAAUAGGAUUAGAUACCCUAGUAGUCAAAGCAGAAAAUUAUGAGUGUCAUAGAUUAGAUAAUACAGUUUAUUCUAUAAAUGAAAGUGUAAGCACUCCACCUCAAGAGUAAUUUGGCAACAUUGGAACUGAAAUCAUUAGACCGUUUCUGAAACCAGUAGUGAAGUAUGUUGUUUAAUUCGAUGAUCCGCGAAAAACCUUACCACAAUUUGAAUAUGUAUACUUUUGAUAUAUUUACAAGCGUUGCACGGCUGUCUUCAGUUAAUGUCGUGAGACUUUGGUUAGAUCCAUUAAAUUAACGUAAGCCCUUACUUUAUUUUCAUAUAAAGUAGUUCUCCACCAUAUUGGACAAGAUAACAGGGACUAAGACAAGUCAUCAUGGCCUGAAUAUUG
rnacentral:rRNA from 1 species